CCUGUCUUUCUGCUUUUAACUAAAUGUAGACCUGGGCAUGGUGGCAUAUGCCUGUGACCUCAGCACUCUGGAGGCUGAGGCAGGAGGAU
rnacentral:miRNA from 1 species